AGUCGAGCGAAGCUUUUCAGUAGUUUACUACAGAAAAUGACUGAGCGGCGAACGGGUGAGUAACGCGUGAGCAACCUACCUUAGUUACUGGGAUAGCCCGAGGAAACUCGGAUUAAUACCGGAUAUUCUUAUUUAAUCACAUGAUUUUUUAAGGAAAGGUCAGCCGAACUAAGAUGGGCUCGCGUUCUAUCAGCUAGUUGGUAGGGUAAUGGCCUACCAAGGCUACGACGGAUAGCUGGUCUGAGAGGACGAUCAGCCACACUGGGACUGAGACACGGCCCAGACUCCUACGGGAGGCUGCAGCAGGGAAUAUUGCGCAAUGAGCGAAAGCUUGACGCAGCGACACCGCGUGUGGGAUGACGGAUCUAGGUUUGUAAACCACUUUCAGGAGGGAAGAAAAUGACGGUACCUCCACAAGAAGCCCCGGCCAACUACGUGCCAGCAGCCGCGGUAAUACGUAGGGGGCGAGCGUUGUCCGGAUUUAUUGGGCGUAAAGAGCUCGUAGGCGGUUCAACAAGUCGGUCGUGAAAGUUCAGGGCUCAACCCUGAAAUGUCGAUCGAUACUGUUGUGACUAGGAUACGGUAGAGGUGAGUGGAAUUCC
rnacentral:rRNA from 1 species